AAGCUCAAAUUUAAAAUCUGGUGGCCUUUGGUCAUCCGAGUUGUAAUUUAGAGAAGCGUCUUCCGCGCUGGACCGUGCACAAGUCUCCUGGAAUGGAGCGUCAUAGAGGGUGAGAAUCCCGUCUUUGGCACGGAUCCCGGUGCUUCUGUGAUGCGCUCUCGAAGAGUCGAGUUGUUUGGGAAUGCAGCUCAAAAUGGGUGGUGAACUCCAUCUAAAGCUAAAUAUUGGCGAGAGACCGAUAGCGAACAAGUACCGUGAGGGAAAGAUGAAAAGCACUUUGGAAAGAGAGUGAAACAGUACGUGAAAUUGUUGAAAGGGAAACGCUUGAAGUCAGUCGCGUCGUCCGAGACUCAGCCUCGCCUCGGCUUGGUGUACUUCUCGACCGACGGGUCAGCAUCAAUUUCACCCCUUGGAUAAUGGCGAGGGAAAUGUGGCACCUUUGCGGGUGCGUUAUAGUCCCUCGUCGCAUGCAAGGGUCGGGAUUGAGGAACUCAGCACGCGCCUUUUGGUGUCGGGGCUUUUGCCCACGAUACGUGCUUAGGAUGUUGGCGUAAUGGCUUUAAACGACCCGUCUUGAAACACGGACCAAGGAGUCUAACAUGCCCGCGAGUGUUCGGGUGGAAAACCCGUGCGCGCAAUGAAAGUGAAAGUUGGGACCUCUGUCGUGGAGGGCACCGACGCCCGGACCAGACCUUCUGUGACGGAUCUGCGGUGGAGCGUGUAUGUUAGGACCCGAAAGAUGGUGAACUAUGCCUGAAUAGGGUGAAGCCAGAGGAAACUCUGGUGGAGGCUCGUAGCGAUUCUGACGUGCAAAUCGAUCGUCAAAUUUGGGUAUAGGGGCGAAAGACUAAUCGAACAUCUAGUAGCUGGUCCUG
rnacentral:rRNA from 1 species